UUGGUCAUUUAGAGGAAGUAAAAGUCGUAACAAGGUCUCCGUUGGUGAACCAGCGGAGGGAUCAUUACCGAGUUUACAACUCCCAAACCCCUGUGAACAUACCUAUACGUUGCCUCGGCGGAUCAGCCCGCGCCCUGUAAAAAGGGACGGCCCGCCCGAGGACCCUAAACUCUGUUUUUAGUGGAACUUCUGAGUAAAACAAACAAAUAAAUCAAAACUUUCAACAACGGAUCUCUUGGUUCUGGCAUCGAUGAAGAACGCAGCAAAAUGCGAUAAGUAAUGUGAAUUGCAGAAUUCAGUGAAUCAUCGAAUCUUUGAACGCACAUUGCGCCCGCCAGUAUUCUGGCGGGCAUGCCUGUUCGAGCGUCAUUUCAACCCUCAAGCUCAGCUUGGUGUUGGGACUCGCGGUAACCCGCGUUCCCCAAAUCGAUUGGCGGUCACGUCGAGCUUCCAUAGCGUAGUAAUCAUACACCUCGUUACUGGUAAUCGUCGCGGCCACGCCGUAAAACCCCAACUUCUGAAUGUUGACCUCGGAUCAGGUAGGAAUACCCGCUGAACUUAAGCAUAUCAAUAAG
rnacentral:rRNA from 1 species